UACGGGGGGGGGUAAGCGUUGUUCGGAAUUACUGGGCGUAAAGGGCUCGUAGGCGGCCAACUAAGUCAGACGUGAAAUCCCUCAGCUUAACUGGGGAACUGCGUCUGAUACUGGAUGGCUUGGAUUCGGGAGAGGAAUGCGGAAUUCCAGGUGUAGCGGUGAAAUGCGUAGAUAUCUGGAGGAAUACCGGUGGCGAAGGCGGCAUCCUGGACCAUUACUGACGCUGAGGCGCGAAAGCUAGGGGAGCAAACGGGG
rnacentral:rRNA from 1 species